UCACUUGUGGGGGGAUUAGUGGCGAACGGGUGAGUAACACGUGAGUAACCUGCCCUUGACUCUGGGAUAAGCCUGGGAAACCGGGUCUAAUACUGGAUACGACCUUCUGGCGCAUGCCAUGUUGGUGGAAAGCUUUUGUGGUUUUGGAUGGACUCGCGGCCUAUCAGCUUGUUGGUGGGGUAAUGGCCUACCAAGGCGACGACGGGUAGCCGGCCUGAGAGGGUGACCGGCCACACUGGGACUGAGACACGGCCCAGACUCCUACGGGAGGCAGCAGUGGGGAAUAUUGCACAAUGGGCGCAAGCCUGAUGCAGCGACGCCGCGUGAGGGAUGAAGGCCUUCGGGUUGUAAACCUCUUUCAGUAGGGAAGAAGCUGGCCUUUUGGGUUGGUGACGGUACCUGCAGAAGAAGCGCCGGCUAACUACGUGCCAGCAGCCGCGGUAAUACGUAGGGCGCAAGCGUUAUCCGGAAUUAUUGGGCGUAAAGAGCUCGUAGGCGGUUUGUCGCGUCUGCCGUGAAAGUCCGGGGCUUAACUCCGGAUCUGCGGUGGGUACGGGCAGACUAGAGUGCAGUAGGGGAGACUGGAAUUCCUGGUGUAGCGGUGAAAUGCGCAGAUAUCAGGAGGAACACCGAUGGCGAAGGCAGGUCUCUGGGCUGUAACUGACGCUGAGGAGCGAAAGCAUGGGGAGCG
rnacentral:rRNA from 1 species